rnacentral:lncRNA from 1 species
AAGAAAUAGAGAAUUAAAGCAAAAACUGCUUAGGCCAUCCCUGAAACCCACCUUCAAAAAAGUGAUUACCUGGAAUGACUUGACUCCCCAUUGCUCUCUACCUGGUCUUGAGCUGGAGUUGCUCUCAGUGAGCCAGGAAAAGAAGUAACCUUAAAUGUGGGGCAGAGGAGAAGUUGUGUGCUUGGUCUCAGCCUGACUGGUGGCUCCAGUGGCCAAGAGGACAGGAUAGAGUUUGGAAGAGAGGAAGAGUGCCGAGUAGGAUGGGGUGCCAAGGAGAUGCUGCUGGCGAUGGAGCAGCUGGCAUCCUGCUCUCACUGAGAUUGGCUGGCCCAGGAGGAUCCUAAUUACAGCACAACUGCUGCCUCCAUAAUCACUGUGACAGGAGCAGUGUGGGCCGGAAGGAGAUGUGAGAUGGAGUUGGUGGCUGCUGAAGAGGAUGUUGGAAUCAUUGUUCUUUGCCGAGGCUUCAUAGGGGGCUGCUGCCAGCUGCCUGCUAAGGUUUAAACAGCUGCCACCAAAAAAGGGGCCAGCCCUUCCUGCCUCAUCUCCAGAGGAUGCACCAGCCCCAGCCUGCAGGUCUGCCUCCGGGCGCUCUGGCUAGAGGGGGAUGGCAGGCUUCCAGAAAUAUCCACCAAAUGCCCUCUCUGAGCCAAGCAUUAUGUUGUGGAGAUACACAAUUAAGACAUGUAAGUCAAUUACUAUCUGCUUUGUCUCUUAAACCUAGAACAUAAAAAGUUAAUUCUUAAUUCCUUCCCCCGCCUUUUUUUUUUUUUUUUGCUCAGCUUUUAUAGCCGUCAGAAUGCUUGUUGACUCUACCUCCAAAAUAUAUAACCUGGAUCUGUUACACCAAAUCAACUGCCGUACCUACCCACCUUAGGGCCGUGCCAUCAUCACUUUCACCUCAUCUAUUACAAUUGUCACCUAGCUGGUCUCCUGGCAUACACGGUUACCUUCCUUAUCAUUUAUCUUCUAGUAGCCACAGUGAUGUUUAAAAAUAUAAAUCCUAUCAUGUCAUCU